ensembl:lncRNA
GGCACUGCCAUGGCCGUCCCCACCGCCACCGUCACCGCUCUGCUGCUGCUGCUGCUGCCGCCGCCCCACAUCCACGCGCUGCCGUGGGGAGAGGACCCCACAGCUCCGCUCAGAACGACGUCAAUUGGUGAGUUGGGCCCCAAAUGGCCCCAAAAUCCCCCAAAACGUCCCAAAAUGUCCCCCAAAAGUCCCAAAUAUCCCCCAAAAUGUCCCCGAAUGUCCCCAAAGUGUCCCAAAUGUCCCAAAUAUCCCACAAAAUGUCCAAAAUUGUCCCCAAAUAUCCCAAAUAUCCCCCAAAAUGUCCCCGAAUGUCCCCAAAGUGUCCCAAAUGUCCCAAAUAUCCCACAAAAUGUCCAAAAUUGUCCCCAAAUAGUCCCAAAUAUCCCCCAAAAUGUCCCCAAAUGUCCCCAAAAGGUCCACAAAUGUCCCAAAAAUGUCCCCAAAACGUCCAAAAUAUCCACAAUUGUCCCCAAAAAUGUCCUCAAAAAUGUCCCAAAUGUCCCAAAUGUCCCCAAAAAUGUCCCAAAUGUCCCCAAAAAUUCCCAAAUAUCCCCCAAAAUGUCCCCGAAUGUCCCCAAAGUGUCCCAAAUGUCCCAAAUAUCCCACAAAAUCUCCCAAAUUGUCCCCAAAUAGUCCCAAAUAUCCCCCAAAAUGUCCCCGAAUGUCCCCAAAGUGUCCCCAAAUGUCCCAAAAAGUCCCAAAUAUCCCCCAAAAUGUCCCCGAAUGUCCCCAAAGUGUCCCAAAUGACCCCAAAUAUCCCCACCAAAUGGCCCCGAAUGUCCCAAAUGUCCCAAAUGACCCCAAAUAUCCCCCCAAAAUGGCCCCAAAU